ACUGCCCCUAGAGGCACAGCAAGUGUGGCAACUGUGUCACAAGGACAUCAAUAGGUAGCAGGGAGGAAAGAGGCUACAGUCUAUGCUCAGUGUUCUGACCUGAGAACAUCUGAAUGCUCAUAGCCUAACAUU